AGAGUUUGAUCCUGGCUCAGAUUGAACGCUGGCGGCAUGCUUUACACAUGCAAGUCGGACGGCAGCACAGAGAAGCUUGCUUCUUGGGUGGCGAGUGGCGAACGGGUGAGUAACAUAUCGGAACGUACCGAGCAGUGGGGGAUAACUAAUCGAAAGAUUAGCUAAUACCGCAUAUAUUCUGAGGAAGAAAGCAGGGGACCAUUUGGCCUUGCGCUGUUUGAGCGGCCGAUAUCUGAUUAGCUAGUUGGUGGGGUAAAGGCCUACCAAGGCGACGAUCAGUAGCGGGUCUGAGAGGAUGAUCCGCCACACUGGGACUGAGACACGGCCCAGACUCCUACGGGAGGCAGCAGUGGGGAAUUUUGGACAAUGGGCGCAAGCCUGAUCCAGCCAUGCCGCGUGUCUGAAGAAGGCCUUCGGGUUGUAAAGGACUUUUGUCAGGGAAGAAAAGGGCGGGGUUAAUACCCCUGUCUGAUGACGGUACCUGAAGAAUAAGCACCGGCUAACUACGUGCCAGCAGCCGCGGUAAUACGUAGGGUGCGAGCGUUAAUCGGAAUUACUGGGCGUAAAGCGGGCGCAGACGGUUACUUAAGCAGGAUGUGAAAUCCCCGGGCUCAACCUGGGAACUGCGUUCUGAACUGGGUGACUAGAGUGUGUCAGAGGGAGGUAGAAUUCCACGUGUAGCAGUGAAAUGCGUAGAGAUGUGGAGGAAUACCGAUGGCGAAGGCAGCCUCCUGGGAUAACACUGACGUUCAUGCCCGAAAGCGUGGGUAGCAAACAGGAUUAGAUACCCUGGUAGUCCACGCCCUAAA
rnacentral:rRNA from 1 species